AAUCCAACGCCAGAAGGAAGAUGCUACUGCCACACACACCAGAGACCUUUUUUUUAACGAUCAAUUAAAGAUUUUUCGUGAAAUAUCCUCUUCUAUUAUUCAUUUCAUGUCCCUGCGGCCUUUAAAUAUAGAAUAGCUUAAAGUAAAGACGAGUACAUUAUGAGUUGAAGCAUCAAGGUACAAAUGGUAAAUUUACUUUACAGAAAACAUAUUAAACUCACAAAAUUUUGCCAUGACAAAAUAAUAAAGGGAGCCAGUGAUUUGGAAGAUAUAAUCAGGAAGCAUGAAGUUACAGCGUAUCACAGUUGAAAAUAAUAACAG